rnacentral:rRNA from 1 species
GAUGAACGCUGGCGGCGUGCCUAAUACAUGCAAGUCGAGCGAACGGACGAGAAGCUUGCUUCUCUGAUGUUAGCGGCGGACGGGUGAGUAACACGUGGAUAACCUACCUAUAAGACUGGGAUAACUUCGGGAAACCGGAGCUAAUACCGGAUAAUAUUUUGAACCGCAUGGUUCAAAAGUGAAAGACGGUCUUGCUGUCACUUAUAGAUGGAUCCGCGCUGCAUUAGCUAGUUGGUAAGUUAACGGCUUACCAAGGCAACGAUGCCUAGCCGACCUGAUAGGGGGUAGGCGCACUGGGAAAGUGAACGACGACCCAGGCCCUGAGGGAGGGCCGCGACUGGUACGCGUGGGAAAAGGGGGAAAUCUUGACGAAGCAGCGCCAGGUGGGUGCAGAAGGGCUUCGUGCGGUAAAACGCUGUUAUUGGGGAAAACCGUUUUUGUAAGUAACGGUGCACGAGUGAAGGUAACCGAUAAAGAAGGCACGGCUAACUACGUG